rnacentral:rRNA from 1 species
GAUGAACGCUGGCGGCGUGCCUAAUACAUGCAAGUCGAGCGAACGGACGAGAAGUUUGUUCCGCUGAUGUUAGCGGCGGAAGGGUGUGUAACACAUGGAUAACCUACCUAUCAGACUGGGAUAACUCCGGGAAACCGGAGCUAAUACCGGAUAAUAUUUUGAACCGCAUGGUGCAAAAGUGAAAGACGGUCUUGCUGUCACUUAUAGAUGGAUCCGCGCUGCAUUAGCUAGUUGGUAAGGUACCGGCUUACAAAGGGAACGAUGGCCAGCCGACGUGCGAGGCUGAUCGCCCCUCACGUAACUGACACGCGACCAAUAAUCCUUCGAAAGGCCGCAGUCGGCGAUCUUCCUCCACGGGCGAUAGCAUCACGGAGCAACGCCGCGUCCGUGAUGACGGCCUUCGGAUCGUAACACUCUGUUAUGAGGAGAGAACAAAUGUUCACGUAGCUGUGGACGGCUUGACGGUACCUAAUCAGGAAGCCACGGCUAACUACGUG